rnacentral:tRNA from 1 species
GGUAGUGUGGCCGAGCGGUCUAAGGCGCUGGAUUAAGGCACCAGUCUCAAUAGAGGCGUGGGUUCAAAUCCCACCACUGCCA